GGCUUCGUAACUCAGCUGGUAGAGCAUUUGCCACGUUUGGGCAUGUUGUUUCUGUUCGCUGGUUCGAAUCCAGCCGAAGUCC